rnacentral:rRNA from 1 species
CCCGCAACGAGCGCAACCCUAUCAUCUGUUGCCAGCAUUUAAGGUGGGGACUCAGAUGAGACUGCCGGUGACAAACCGGAGGAAGGUGGGGACGACGUCAAGUCAUCAUGGCCCUUAUGUCCUGGGCUACACACGUGCUACAAUGGCCGGUACAGAGUGAAGCGAAACCGCGGGGUGAAGCAAAACGCAGAAAGCCGGUCUCAGUACGGAUUGGAGUCUGAAGCUCGACUUCAUGAAGUUGGAAUCGCUAGUAAUCGCGCAUCAGCAUGGCGCGGUGAAUACGUUCCCGGGCCUU